rnacentral:rRNA from 1 species
UACGUAAGGUGCGAGCAUUAAUCGGAAUUAUUGGGCGUAAAGAGUGCGAAGGCGGGAGAGAAAGUCAACUGUGAAAUUUACCAGCUCAACUGGUAAGCGGCAGGUGAAACUUCUUUUCUUGAGGGUUGUCGGAGGAAAUGGAAUUCCACAAGUAGCGGUGAAAUGCGUAGAUAUGUGGAGGAACACCUGUGGCGAAAGCGGUUUCCUAGACAAACCCUGACGCUCUAGCACGAAAGCUAGGGGAGCAAACAGG